rnacentral:rRNA from 1 species
CCCGCACAAGCGGUGAGCAUGUGGUUAAUUCGAAGCAACGCGAAGAACCUUACCAGGUCUUGACAUCCCUGACAACCCGAGAGAUCGGGCGUUCCCCCUUCGGGGGACAGGGUGACAGGUGGUGCAUGGUUGUCGUCAGCUCGUGUCGUGAGAUGUUGGGUUAAGUCCCGCAACGAGCGCAACCCUCGACCUUAGUUGCCAGCAUUCAGUUGGGCACUCUAAGGUGACUGCCGGCUAAAAGUCGGAGGAAGGUGGGGAUGACGUCAAAUCAUCAUGCCCCUUAUGGGCUGGGCUACACACGUGCUACAAUGGCCGGUACAGAGGGUUGCCAACCCGCGAGGGGGAGCCAAUCUCAGAAAACCGGUCGUAGUCCGGAUCGCAGUCUGCAACUCGACUGCGUGAAGUCGGAAUCGCUAGUAAUCGCGAAUCAGCAUGUCGCGGUGAAUACGUUCCCGGGCCUU